UAGGGAAUCUUCCACAAUGGACGAAAGUCUGAUGGAGCAAUGCCGCGUGAGUGAAGAAGGGUUUCGGCUCGUAAAACUCUGUUGUUAAAGAAGAACAUAUCUGAGAGUAACUGUUCAGGUAUUGACGGUAUUUAACCAGAAAGCCACGGCUAACUACGUGCCCG
rnacentral:rRNA from 1 species